UAUUUUAGAGGACAAUGGGAUGAAGAAACAGUUGGGACUACUUACGUGCCUUAGGAACAAUUUUUGGUAAUCCUAACUUAGUGAUUCUUCAAAAAAACUGUGAACAUUUACUACCUUUAAGCAUCAAAAUACUUCAUCACAUCUUGAUAAGUAUCAUUCUCUCAAAACAAUAUCAUCAUGAUGAAGUAAGUCAAAUGGAAUUAGGUACCAUGUAUUGG
rnacentral:lncRNA from 1 species